GCCCUUUCGCAGUCGCGCCGGCUCGCCUAUAUUCAAGACGCCGGGGCAACCCGGAUACGGCGAUAAACGGUCAUCGUAAUAAGCCUAUCGGACCCGGGGGCAGUACCCGGCGCCUCCACCAGGAGCCCCUUCGCGAAGGGAUUGCUGAUGGGGGCGAAACAGGAUCGACGAGGGUGUAAAGGGUGUUCUUUCGCUCGGCAUGGUUCCGCCGUCAUCGGGCCAUUCAAUAGUUGCCAACGACAACUAUGCUCCGGUGGCCGUUGCCGCGUAAUGCGGUAAUAGUACCGAAAUCAAGCCCUUGCGGGUAGCACCGUAAGGCGGGGUUCGGAGGCACCUGGCAACAGAAGCCUCCACU
rnacentral:tmRNA from 1 species